rnacentral:rRNA from 1 species
GUGUCAGCAGCCGCGGUAAGACGAAGGUGGCAAGCGUUGUUCGGAAUCACUGGGCAUAAAGCGUGCGUAGGCGGCCAAAUCAGUCGGGUGUGAAAUCCCUCGGCUCAACCGAGGAACUGCGCCCGAUACUGUUUGGCUUGAGGUCCGGAGGGGAGAGUGGAAUUCCCGGUGGAGCGGUGAAAUGCGUAGAGAUCGGGAAGAACGCCGGCGGCGAAAGCGACUCUCUGGUCGGAUCCUGACGCUGAGGCACGAAAGCUAGGGGAGCAAACGGGAUUAGAUACCCUAGUAGUCC